rnacentral:rRNA from 1 species
UACGUAGGGGGCUAGCGUUGUCCGGAAUCAUUGGGCGUAAAGCGCGUGUAGGCGGUCCGGUAAGUCUGCUGUGAAAGUCGGGGGCUCAACCCUCGGAAGCCGGUGGAUACUGCUGGGCUAGAGUGCGGAAGAGGCGAGUGGAAUUCCUGGUGUAGCGGUGAAAUGCGCAGAUAUCAGGAGGAACACCCAUUGCGAAGGCAGCUCGCUGGGACGUUACUGACGCUGAGACGCGAAAGCGUGGGGAGCAAACAGG